rnacentral:rRNA from 1 species
GCAGCCGCCGCGGGAAAACGGAGGGUGCAAGCGUUAAUCGGAAUUACUGGGCGUAAAGCGCACGCAGGCGGUCUGACAAGUCAGAUGUGAAAUCCCCGGGCUUAACCUGGGAACUGCAUUUGAAACUGUCAGGCUGGAGUCUUGUAGAGGGGGGUGGAAUUCCAGGUGUAGCGGUGAAAUGCGUAGAGAUCUGGAGGAAUACCGGUGGCGAAGGCGGCCCCCUGGACAAAGACUGACGCUCAGGUGCGAAAGCGUGGGGAGCAAACAGGAUUAGAUACCCCUGUAGUCCCUGUCUCUUAUAC